rnacentral:rRNA from 1 species
UAUUAUUAUAAUAUUAACAUAUUUCAUAUUACUUUUUUUAAGUAUAUGAAAUUUUACUUUGAGAAAAUUAGAGUGCUUAAAGCAGGCUUUUGCCUUGAAUACUCCAGCAUGGAAUAAUAUUAAAGAUUUUUAUCUUUCUUAUUGGUUCUAAGAUAGAAAUAAUGAUUAAUAGGGACAGUUGGGGGCAUUUGUAUUUAACAGUCAGAGGUGAAAUUCUUAGAUUUG